rnacentral:rRNA from 1 species
UGAAAUGUUGGGUUAAGUCCCGCAACGAGCGCAACCCUUAUCCUUACUUGCCAGCGGGUAAUGCCGGGAACUUUAGGGAGACUGCCGGUGAUAAACCGGAGGAAGGUGGGGACGACGUCAAGUCAUCAUGGCCCUUACGAGUAGGGCUACACACGUGCUACAAUGGUCGGUACAGAGGGUUGCGAAGCCGCGAGGUGGAGCUAAUCUCACAAAGCCGGUCGUAGUCCGGAUUGGAGUCUGCAACUCGACUCCAUGAAGUCGGAAUCGUCUAGUAAUCGUGGAUCAGAAUGCCACGGUGAAUACGUUCCCGGGCCUGUACACACCGCCCGUCACACCAUGGGAGUGGGCUGCACCAGAAGUAGAUAGCUUUAACCAUUCGGGAGGGCGU